rnacentral:rRNA from 1 species
CAGCAGCCGCGGUAAUACGAAGGGUGCAAGCGUUAAUCGGAAUUACUGGGCGUAAAGCGUGCGUAGGCGGUUUGUUAAGUCUGUUGUGAAAUCCCCGAGCUCAACCUGGGAAUGGCAAUGGAUACUGGCAAGCUAGAGUGUGUCAGAGGAUGGUGGAAUUCCCGGUGUAGCGGUGAAAUGCGUAGAGAUCGGGAGGAACAUCAGUGGCGAAGGCGGCCAUCUGGGACAACACUGACGCUGAGGCACGAAAGCGUGGGGAGCAAACAGGAUUAGAUACCCGCGUAGUCCCUGUCUCUUAUAC